GAUGAAGAACGUAGUGAAAUGCGAUAAGUAAUGUGAAUUGCAGAAUUCAGUGAAUCAUCGAAUCUUUGAACGCACAUUGCGCCCGGCAGUACUCUGCCGGGCAUGCCUGUUCGAGCGUCAUUUCAACCCUCAAGCCCUGCUUGGUGUUGGGGUCCCACGGCCGCCGUGGGCCCUGAAAGGAAGUGGCGGGCUCGCUGUCACACCGAGCGUAGUAGCAUACAUCUCGCUCUGGGCGUGCUGCGGGUUCCGGCCGUUAAACCACCUUCAUAACCCAAGGUUGACCUCGGAUCAGGUAGGAAGACCCGCUGAACUUAAGCAUAUCAAUAAGCGGAGGA
rnacentral:misc_RNA from 1 species